AUGGCGACGGUCCACGCGCGCUUGGGCUGCCUUCCGCAACCGCCUCCUCCUCGACUUCCCCGCCGCCGCGCCACCUUCUCCUCCGGUUCCCGCCGGUCCGCCGCGGCUCGCAGUCGCGUUACGAGUUUGCGCAGGGCGUCCCGUUUGGGUCCAUGGACUGCGCAGGCAAUGUCUGGCGCAGAACCUCCUGCUGGUGGCGGCGAAGCUGGUGAGAUCAUCGAUGCGGUGGAAGUGGAACCUAGCAAUGCUGGCGCUUCCUUGCUUGCAAAAGUGGCAGUUGCACUGGGUGUUGCGGUGACGGUCACCGCGAUAUCGAUUUUCAUGAAGCAACCUUCCUCUGGUCCUUCUUUCAGCCUGCCACAGAUUAUUGAUGCUUCCGCGCAGUCAGAUACUGUCGGAUAUACAUUUUCUCAGUUCGGGAAGAAGGUCAUCAUUCCGGAAUAUACGCCAGGGUGGGUCUACUUCUGGUUGCUCAUGGCUGCUGGAUUUGGACUGUUUGUCAGUGAAGAAGCUUUAAACGUUUGGGUUGGGAUCUCGUUAGCACGCACCCUUUGUUUGGAUGGAACUUGGCAAUCUCUUGUUAACUCGUUCUCGACGAAUGCAUCUUAUAUAAUUUCGACGGUGUUGUGGGUUUACUGGGGUGUUUGUAUCAGCGAUAUGGUUCCAUUCUAUCUUGGUAAGCUUUUUAGACAAACAAGAGCAUCUGAAGACAUAUACAGCAAGCUUGGAAUUAGCAAGGAGAAAGCCGUAAGUGUAUCUCGUGCUAUACAAAAGUACGGGAACCUGAUUGGCUUUGUUGAGCGGUUUUCUAUUGGCAUAAGGAAUCCGACAGGAUUUCUGGCAGGCGCAGUAGGCGUAUCAGCAGACUGUUAUUUCGCUGGAGUUUGUUGCGGCUGUCUAUUUACUCUUCCUAUCCAGUUAGCCGUCGGAUUUUAUCUCAGAGAACGCCCAGUCGUGGCGCUCGCGAGCGUUGCAGCUGCCGUGGGCAUCUGGACUGUGUUCCCUUACGCGGCAGCGGCGUGCACGGCUUUAUUCCUCUACCUUCGACGCAGGCCCAGCAGCUGA
rnacentral:rRNA from 1 species